UCGCUUGAGUUCUCCUUGAAAACUGCUUUAUGGUCUAAUGCUGAGAAAGGUCCUUGAAAUGGUAAUUUGAACUUAAUUACUUCAGUAUGUUACAAAACUUCUGAUAAAUGAGAGCUGAAAUAAUGAUUCCUGUCACUCCCAUUUCAAUUCUAUCAUGAGAACAUCUGUCAGCAUCUUUGGUCUAAUUCACAUUUUUCCAUUAAGAAAAAUGACGAGUUGAAUUGUGCUGAACUUUCUUUGAUUAGAAAAAUUGGCUAGAGUCCCAAAGCAUGACAUCUAUGAGCAGUAUAAGAAACGGAUGAUGCUUGGUUACCGGUACAGGCUAAACCCUCUGAGAUUUGGUUCUCAAGACAACUUGUUGAAGAGGAUUUCUUGCUUGGCGCUUGUUACUUACACGCGAGAAGAUAAUCAGAUGUCAAUGUCAAGAUCAUCCAACAAUGUUAUCCGCAGAUGGAGUUCAACUUCUGCUCCAGAUAAUAGAUGCCAUGUCAGUGAGGAACUCGAACACAGAAUCGGACGGACGGAAACUUCAUUAAACAGGUUGGGAAUGGUCCUAGAAUCUAUUCAGAGCGACGUCAUGCAAGUUAACAAAGAAGUUAAAGAAGCAUAACUGGAGAGUAAGUAUCUCUAUUACAUCAGAACAGGAACUAGAAAAGUUGUUCUACGACCAUGAGCUUCACCUUACAAAAGACAUGAUUCUUCCUGAUUCUGAGGUGCGCUUUCUCCUUCCAACUCAGUUCCCUAAGCAACAACUGACUUGAUGCUCCAAAGUUCUUAGGUAAUGACAAUGUUUAACUUUUUAAUUUGUCUUACAUCACAUACACAUGGAUGUAUGUCCGUCGACUUAAAGUUGAGUUACAACAACUAAGGGCAAAUUACAAAUUUUCCAGAAAGUUGAAUGCUGCAUACAAGUCAUGCAGGUGCUUCUCCCAUCUUGCUGAUUGAUCUUGCAAUAGUCUUUCUAAUCAGGACAUGCUCUUCUAUUUGUCAACUUCGAUAACACCUGAGACACAAAGUCCAUUGGCAUAUUCUCACUACCAUCUGCUAUAUUUAGGAUCAUCUAAAGAAUUUGGAUUUGAAUUUUUCUUGAUUUAUUUUCUAGUUUUGGGUUUUGUUGAAUUACAGUUCUCUAUGGGAAAAUUGCAGGUCUGCAAGGUGUGGAAAGAGCUGCAGACUGAGGUGGAUAAAUUACCUGAGGCCUAAUCUUAAGAGAGGCACAUUCUCACAGCAAGAAGAGAACCUGAUAAUUGAACUUCAUGCAGUUCAAGGCAACAAGUGAUCGCAGAUUGCAGCACAGCAGACCACAGGUACACACUGGAAGGUUUGAGCUCGAAGAGCAACACUAACAUCAAGAACAAUUCGAUGGCAACCACCAAGGAAUUCUUCCUGGAGAGGGAGGAGCCUUUGUUUUGCAUGUAAGGAAACUUUUGGAGAAUUGAAUUCCAUUGUGGGGGGCAAAAGCUAAUCAUUCCUGUAAGCUAAAUCUCAUCCUGUGCACCCUGUACUAAUUUAUAUUCACCUUUCAUGGUUGCUUAAAUGCUCUAGAAUUAAGUUUGACAAUCGGGCUUCUACCCAUGUUUGCACGUGUGGACACAUUGGUAGUCAUCGCACAAACUACCCAUGCUCUAGGAUUAGGAAUGACUGGUGUCAUUAUCGUAGAGGGGAGAGACAGCACAAUGGAAGUCAUUGGUUCUAUGUGAUUGUUGCUAUUUUUCAUACAUUGGUUUGUUAGUCACCUUGUAUCUUCAAGAUGUCAAAACACUAUCAAGGUUGAAGAUACAUGUUUACAAGUAUUCAUUUGAAUAUACACACAAACUUAUGUAUGUGACCGACAUAUAUCUUCAAUCUUGAGAGAGAGGGGGGUGGGCAGAAAAACAAAACAAAAGCACAGCCAAAACAACAACAACAAAAAAAAGUACGAGGGAACAAGAAGAACAGAGCAAAAACCCAGAACCCGAAACUAAUAGGCUUAUCUUCUGUUGGAGAUCUCAAAAUCAGCAGAGUCGCUCUGGCUUUAAUAAGAUGUAUUUAUUCAUCAAUCUUGAAGAUGUAUUUAUAAAUCAAUUAUAUUUGACUUUGUCAUUUUGGUGUUCCCUGUUUCCAGAUCAAUCUUUUAACUAUUCUUGUCCAGGCUGUCAAUGUCA